UUACAGAAUUUAAAUUGAAUAUAAUUACAAAAUAUAGAACAUAUAUUUUCCUUUAAAAGUAUAACGACUGUAACAAAUAACUAUUUUUAAAAAUAUUAUAAUUGUUUUUCAAAGCACGCCCUACCUCAUUUACGUCUAGCGAAUAUGAAUUACUUAAAUUAAGAUUUCAAUUUAAGGUGACAUGAGCAGCCGUGAUAGUUGGAUCCCUUUGGCUGCAGGCCUGGUUGUUGGAGCUGGUUUGCUUGCACUCCUAUAUAAGAUGUUUUCGGUGACUUCCUAUAGUAAAAUUAAUCUUAAUCCUGCCUCUAAUGCUUAUAAGUGUGCGUGUAAAGAAGGCGACAUUGAUAGCACAUGUAAAGUGCAUAGUUCGAGUUGACAGAAAAGAAGAAAUAUUUUGCUACUUGUCACGAUGGCUGUCACACGGAGACGACGCAGAAAUUAUUUUUGAUAAUAAAAUAAUAUAAAUAUACAAAAUGCUGUGGCGAGAAGCUUCUUAACACAAGUAACCUUUGUACCAAUGCAAUGUGUGAUUGUGCGGAGGAAUUAGAGCGAAAACGGCUUGCUGCUAUCCGAGCACAAUCACGUGGUACAUCCCCACCCCCUGGAGCCGGAUGGCUGGACUGGAUCUUUGGAGACAGUUCAGGAGGAUGGUUCCCAAUUAUUGGAGGGUCCACAGUCUUCAUGGCUCUACUCGGCCUGGUCUAUCAAAACUUUGAGAAGAUAAAGCAGUUUUUUGGCGGGUUCGGUGCAGGUGGCAAAAAAUGGAAAGAUCCAUGCGAAGGACAAGUUCGGAAGCCACCUCCGAAGACAUUCAAAGCGUGUAGCUGCGAUACCUAACAAAAUACUUCUUUAAUGCUUGAUCAAUGUGUUGCAGUAUCGUGACUUUAUUUAAUUUGAUUAAAUGAGUUUUUAUUCAAUAACGA